rnacentral:sRNA from 1 species
UGGGUCUCCGCGCUUGUCCCGCCGGCCCCGGCCUCGCCGCCCCGCGCAGUGCCCAGCCCGGCCCUGCCGACCCGCUUCUACCGCUGGCUCCGCGCCCUUCCCCGAGGGCUGGAUGAUGGGCUCUUUCGCCCUGCAAACGGUGGACACCGAGCUGACCGCGGACUCGGUGGAGUGGUGCCCGCUGCAAGGCUGCAGGCACCUGCUGGCGUGCGGGACCUACCAGCUGCGGCGGCCGGAGGACCGGCCUGCCGGCCCCCAGAACAAGGGUGGAAUGGAAGUUGAGGAGCCUGAGGUCCGUUUAGGCCGUCUCUUCCUGUACAAUUUCAAUGACAACAACUCUAUUCACCCUCUGGUCGAGGUCCAAAGAAAAGAUACUUCUGCAAUCCUGGACAUGAAAUGAUAUACAACCACUUACUGUUGUGUUACACUUGCCUGCAGUAACAUGCUGUAAGGUUUGUGGCAUAGGAGCAGUGGGCCGUACCAUAUAGUCAAGGUGUCACAUCCCGGUGGGUGGACAUGCCCUCUUGGGCUUGGCAGAUGCCAGUGGAUCCAUACAACUGCUCCGCCUGGUGGAAUAUGAGGUCAGUGACUUGCACUUGUUCUGUGGGGCAGAAGGGACUUGAAUAGAGAGGGUUGGGGAGGAGGCUGUGCUGAUAAAGACAUUUUUCUAGAACGAUCUCUCUUUAAUGGUGAGCUAUAUAUAAACGUUCUAAGAUAACGUGAAGUCUAUUUUUAAGUUGUAUUGCAUUCUACAUCCAACUCCAAGAGGAAGUCACCUCAUGUGUCACUAUAAGGGCUGAAGUGACAGGAUGUUCACUGACCUGUCAGUGAAUCUGAAAGUUCUCCAAUGACAGCCUGGGCAAGCAUUCUUAGGUUGAUGCUGGGGCCCAGAGUAGCAGUGAGCAUUCUGUGUGAAGAUGGCGUUUCUCACUGAUUAUUGGAAAAGCUUUAGAAGAGCCACGUGCUGGAGCCAUUGUCCAGCCUUGCCCUGGAGGAGCAGUGUCUGGCUUUGUCCCUAGAUUGGUCCACUGGGAAAACUGGAAGGGCCGGGGACCAGCCCUUGAAGAUCAUCAGCAGUGACUCCACAGGGCAGCUUCACCUCCUGAUGGUGAAUGAGACGGGGCCCAGGCUGCAGAAAGUGGCCUCAUGGCAGGCACAUCAAUUCGAGGCCUGGAUUGCUGCUUUCAAUUACUGGCAUACAGAAAUUGUGUAUUCAGGGGGCGACGAUGGCCUUCUGAGGGGCUGGGACACCAGGGUACCCGGCAAAUUUCUCUUCACUAGCAAAAGACACACCAUGGGCGUGUGCAGCAUCCAGAGCAGCCCCCAUCGGGAGCACAUCCUGGCCACGGGAAGCUAUGAUGAGCACAUCCUACUGUGGGACACACGAAACAUGAAGCAGCCGUUGGCAGAC